rnacentral:rRNA from 1 species
UCCCCUAGUAACUGCGAGUGAAGCGGGAAAAGCUCAAAUUUGAAAUCUGGCAGUUUUUGACUGUCCGAGUUGUAAUCUAGAGAAGUGUUACCUGUGCUGGACCGUGUACAAGUCUCCUGGAAUGGAGCAUCAUAGAGGGUGAGAAUCCCGUCUUUGACAUGGACUACCUGUACAUUAUGGUGCGCUCUCAAAGAGUCGAGUUGUUUGGGAAUGCAGCUCAAAAUGGGUGGUAAAUGCCAUCUAAAGCUAAAUAUUGGCGAGAGACCGAUAGCGAACAAGUACCGUGAGGGAAAGAUGAAAAGAACUUUGGAAAGAGAGUUAAACAGUACGUGAAAUUGCUGAAAGGGAAACGCUUGAAGUCAGUCGCGUUGUCUGGAAAUCAGCCUUGCUUUUGCUUGGUGUACUUUCUGGUUGACGGGUCAGCAUCAAUUUUGACCACUGGAUAAAGUCUCUGGGAAUGUGGCAUCCUUGGAUGUGUUAUAGCCCUAGGUCGCAUACAGUGGUUGGGAUUGAGGAACUCAGCACGCCGCAAGGCCGGGUUUCGACCACGUUCGUGCUUAGGAUGCUGGCAUAAUGGCUUUAAUCGACCCGUCUUGAAACACGGACCAAGGAGUCUAACAUGCCUGCGAGUGUUUGGGUGGAAAACCCAUGCGCGUAAUGAAAGUGAAAGUUGAGAUCCCUUCAGGGAGCAUUGACGCCCGGACCAGACCUUCUGUGACGGAUCCGCGGUAGAGCAUGUAUGUUGGGACCCGAAAGAUGGUGAACUAUGCCUGAAUAGGGUGAAGCCAGAGGA